UACAGAGACCUCAAGCGUUAUCCGGAAUCAUUGGGCGUAAAGCGUACCGAUAGGUGGUUUAUUAAGUCUUGGGUAAAAGCCGGAAGCUCAACUUCCGCGUUUGCUUAAGAUACUAAUAGACUAGAGGGGCAAAGAGGUGCUUGGAACGAAUGGUGUAGUAGUGAAAUGCGUUGAUAUCAUUCGGAACACCGAAAGCGAAGGCAGAGCACUGGGUGCCACCUGACACUGCUAGGACGAAAGCGUGGGGAGCGAAUGGG
rnacentral:rRNA from 1 species